CAAGUAUUUUGGCAACAAGAUCAUCAAGGAGGAGGAGCUAUCUGAUGAACAAUAUAUCCGUUGUUAUAUGAUCGUUAUGCUUGCAACCUUCUUAUGCCCAACAUCAAACACUAAACCAAGCACCAAGUAUAUGGGAGCACUAAUUGAUGUUAGCAAGAUCAAAGACUUAAACUGGUGUGAAUUCACACAUGCAUGGUUGAUGCAAGCAAUCAACAAGUAUCAAAAAGAAAAGGUGAAGCAAAACAGGAUAACAUUAACACUGGGCGGAUGCAUUUUUCACCUUGCGGUCCGGUGCCUUGAUUUUGUUGACUUUGGGACCAUACAACUACAGUGUACAUUGCCAAGAAUCUGUAUAUGGAAGGGGAACCUAAUAAAACUUUUCAGCGAGAUGCUCUUGGAUAUGGAGGUUUCAGAGUUAAGAAUGAGUCUGAAACUUGUUAUGGCCAACAAACACAUGAAUGGGCUAGCACUGAAAAAAAUUCAUACAUGAAGGAUGCUAUUGAAAGAAGAUUCGGCAAUUCUCUGAGCGUGAAGGUAAAAGAAGAUAUAUAUAUAACAUUCCAACAGUACAUGAAAGAUGAAGGGCCCAGCACUUGCUCCAAAGUAAAGGAGUUGAUCUUACAAACUCUUAAAAUAGUGACAUCAGCGAAUAGCGAUUCCGAAAAAACAGUGAAACUCGAUUCAAGCAACGAAUACAUAUCAGCAAAUGCUAAUAUUGAUUCAGAGACAACUGUUAAGGUCAAUUCAAACGAAGAAUAUGAUCAUGAUGAUAUAAUAUCUAGAAAGAAAAGAAGGUUAGGAGAUCAAAUAGAAAGGCUAACACACGAGGAGCCACAAACUUCUAUAAUUAAAGGGAAAAAUUUAAGUCAGCAGUCAUGUGGGUCUGAAGGAACACACAGCAAGGCGCAGCACAACAUGGUAGUUGAUGAACAAGGGCCACAGUUAGCCCCAAUUGCUACUACAUUCGAAGCAAGCAAAACCAUAGAGGACUUACAACCCACCACCCAAGCUAUACUUCAAGAAGACAACUAUACGCAUUCAAAAACAGUGACCACAGCAAGUUUUGAUUAUAUGCUAUGUCCUCAGAAAUUUGAGUCUACUUCAUACCAACAGCAAGAACAAGGAGUCACAAUAAGCACACCAUCUUUUUGCGGUUUCAAGAACAAUACCAGCACUCAAAAGGAACCAACAAGUGAUCAAUUUCCAGAGAGCAAAAUGAGCAUAGAUAUUAACAAAGUUUUUGUGCCAGAUGAAGAACUAGCUCACACACAGACAACACAAACAUCUUUUGCACGCUACCUAGAUGAAGCUAGGAAAAACUACUUCUUCUACAGUGAUGACAUACCAACAUUACGGCUCUUCAAAAACCACGAUGAUUGCGGGAAUGAAAUCAAAGAGCCCGAAUUGUGGCGUCCUCUGCACAUGGACUCAGAAGAGUACGAAAGAAAGAUUGAGGCUCCUAAGAGGGAUGGUCCCCCAAAGAAAAACAUAGAAGUGGACAAUAUGAUGUCAAAAGACCCAGAACAGAGCUACAAAAGCAUUAAGCAGCAUUCUCAGUAUGAAAUUAAUAGCACGCCCAACGAGUUCCCCGUUUGUUGUGCACAACAACAAAGCCAGAGCUACUUUUGCAAAACACCAAGGCCUUCAACUGCAACAACAACAGAUGCAAGCAUUAUAGACUUGACCUCGCCAAAUGCUUACAAAAUUUUUCAGUGGAACCAGGAACAAACAUGCUACUCACCAAAGAACAAGAACAGCAGUUUCUUCUCACCGAGUACAUCACAUGAAAGAAACAUUGGGUCUCCUAAUCAAUUAAUAAUACCCAGAAGGUUGUUCCCUGACAAAAGCAACCACACGUAUACACCAGAUGGCACUGAAGAACAACCAAUAGCAAUAAGGGACAGUCAAUCUGCCUCCCCAAAGGUUCAAAUCCUGGGGGAAAAGUCUUUGAAACAAAAUUGCUUGAACUUGCUGGGAAACUCAGAUGAACAUUACAACACCCGUCUUUUGUUAGGGAGCUCAAACAGCUCGGUGGGAAAAGAAAAUGUUCCAAACAAAAGAAUUCUUAAGCCAAGCAAAUACCUUUGCUCUCCUUAUGACGGGUAUAACAGGGGAGAAAUUUUGAGCCAUGAAUUGGAUCUCUACAACAAUAUCAUGAUCUUAAGCAGUCAUGCAGAUUACAAGGGGGUUUCUUUGGAACAAUUGGGGAAAUCUUUCAAAGAGGAAGGAUGGGUAGAGUCAUACGUCAUAAAUGUGUUCUGUAGGAAACUCUUUAGGGACAAUCACCCAAGACUAUCUCAAAGGCAUUUCUUCUUCCACACUGCUAGUGAAUACUUCCUACAAAAGUGGAAGAAUGAAGCAUCGAGAUUGCAGUGGAGAGAUAAAUUAAUAAAGAGCUUCACAGGAGCUGGAAAAGCAAAGGAUCUUCAGCAAUGUAACGAAUUAUUUUUUCCAACGCUACACAAGUCACACUAGUUCGUUUUCCUGGUGGACCUGUGUGCCCAUAAAUUCAUCUUCCUGGAUUCAAAGUAUGAUGGAGAUAGCACAUACCACAGGACAAUAAAGCACAUGAUGAUCGAAAACUUCAAACGAGCUUGGAAUGAUGCUGGUCAAAAGAAUAUGGGAUUCAGACACUACGAAACUGCAUAUCCAAACUUACUGAAGCAGUAAGGAUGUGAUGCAUGCGGGAUUUUUGUCUUGAACUGGUUAGAGAACUGGCGUUCUAGGAAUGCGUUGCAAUCAGUCUUCACGCACGAUAUGGUCCAAGAUGCACGUAUCAGGUUUGCAGUCGAUAUUCUGUUCAGUGACCACAACAUUCUCGAUGAAGGGAAAAGGAUUGUCAAGGAUUUAUGAAAUAUGAGUUAAGAGACACUUUCCAGAAAACUCACCAGUGGACAUACCAGUACAAAGAUUAACAAUUCAACUAUAGUUGCGAAAAUGGCAAGACACCGUCUCUUCAAUUGUUUCUCUCACAAACAAUGGCGCAGAAUUUGAAGUUGAUGCGCAUGAAGCAAGGAAAUGUGGUGUCAAGUAGAUAACAAAACAUUUUUAUGUGUUUCAGAUUUUUUUGUUUCGUUUGUACACUGUGGCCAUGUACAAAGUACUAUGAGGAAGAGAAUGAAUGGAAAUGCGUAUGCAAAUAUAUUCGAAGUACUAUGAGGAAGAGAAUGAAUGCAAAUGAGUAUGCAAUUAUAUUCGAAGUUUUUUUUGUAUA